UUCCAGACUCCUACGGGAGGCAGCAGUGGGGAAUAUUGCACAAUGGGGGAAACCCUGAUGCAGCGACGCCGCGUGAAGGAUGAAGUAUUUCGGUAUGUAAACUUCUAUCAGCAGGGAAGAAAAUGACGGUACCUGACUAAGAAGCCCCGGCUAACUACGUGCCAGCAGCCGCGGUAAUACGUAGGGGGCAAGCGUUAUCCGGAUUUACUGGGUGUAAAGGGAGCGUAGACGGCAUGGCAAGUCUGAUGUGAAAACCCGGGGCUCAACCCCGGGACUGCAUUGGAAACUGUCAGGCUGGAGUGUCGGAGAGGCAAGUGGAAUUCCUAGUGUAGCGGUGAAAUGCGUAGAUAUUAGGAGGAACACCAGUGGCGAAGGCGGCUUGCUGGACGAUGACUGACGUUGAGGCUCGAAAGCGUGGGGAGCAAACAGGAUUAGAUACCCCCGUAAA
rnacentral:rRNA from 1 species